UGCGGUGCCGGUGAUUAAUUGACAACUAUUAACCAAAAGUUACACGUUACUGAGCAAGAAUAAUCAUCAAAUACCCAAAUUGCUAAAUUGAAAGCUUGAAAAAGUUGAGCAAGCUGGUCUUUGAAAAGUGAAUUAGAUCCAUGACAGUGCAGUACAUCAUGUACUACCAAUUCAAGCGUCAAGUUUGGAGUUGUACUAUUCAGCAAAAUUGUACUGCUGAAGUACACAAAAUACUAAACUAGAGAAACAAAUACAUCCACUAUUUAUAUAGGCAAAAUCAGGCUUAAUGAAAGGCAAGAAUGAGGAAUAGAGCUAGUAGUAGAAGUGGAAGGGGCAUGCAGAGGAGAGUCAUGUGGAUGCAAACUAGCUUACCCAAAAAAAAAAAAAUAUAUAUAUAUAUAUAAGAAGGUUUAGUUUGAGCCACAACGCAAUCCUGUGUUUGCCUCUUCCACUCUUACUGCUAUUCUCAUCAACACUGAUUCAGUACUGUCUUCAUUUUAAGAUUGCAGAACAAGUACAGCAAACAGAAGAAAAAACAAAAGGAAAUGUACCACAAUGCUGGUUCUUUUGGAGGUGAGUAUUUAACUUCAGCUUCAGUUGUGCAGAUUGUGAAGAUGUUCUUUUGCGAGGCAUGUUUCCAUGGUGUAUACUUUCAGAUAAGAGCUUAAGAGUUGAAACUUCAAUUCAGGUUGAUAAACCUAGACUUUUAUCUCUGGAUAUAAUAUGUAUUGAAGGAAGAUUGGAAUUGUCAGAAAAGCAAGAGCAAGAAGAGCAAGCAAUCAAACCGAUCCAAAGGACAAGCAGUGGUUAUUUUUUAUGAGAGUAAUCUGGUUGCUUCUGUACUAAAUGUGCUUUAUCCUUGCUUAUAUACACUUUUUUUGUUCA